rnacentral:rRNA from 1 species
UAUUGCGCAAUGGCCGAAAGGCUGACGCAGCGACGCCGCGUGAAGGAUGAAGUCCGUUAGGAUGUAAACUUCUUUUGUAGGGGAAGAAUAUCCCGAUUCUCGGGAGGUGACGGUACUCUACGAAUAAGGAUCGGCUAACUACGUGCCAGCAGCCGCGGUAAUACGUAGGAUCCGAGCGUUGUCCGGAAUUACUGGGUGUAAAGGGCGCGUAGGUGGGACUUUAAGUCGGUGGUGAAAUCUUGCAGCUCAACUGCAAAACUGCCUUCGAAACUGGAGAUCUUGAGUACGGCAGAGGGAAGCGGAAUUCAUGGUGUAGCGGUGAAAUGUGUAGAUAUCAUGAAGAACACCAGUGGCGAAGGCGGUUUCCUGUCCGUAACGACACGAGGCGCGAGG